rnacentral:rRNA from 1 species
AGCUAAUACCGGAUAAUAUUUUGAACCGCAUGGUUCAAAAGUGAAAGACGGUCUUGCUGUCACUUAUAGAUGGAUCCGCGCUGCAUUAGCUAGUUGGUAAGGUAACGGCUUACCAAGGCAACGAUGCAUAGCCGACCUGAGAGGGUGAUCGGCCACACUGGAACUGAGACACGGUCCAGACUCCUACGGGAGGCAGCAGUAGGGAAUCUUCCGCAAUGGGCGAAAGCCUGACGGAGCAACGCCGCGUGAGUGAUGAAGGUCUUCGGAUCGUAAAACUCUGUUAUUAGGGAAGAACAUAUGUGUAAGUAACUGUGCACAUCUUGACGGUACCUAAUCAGAAAGCCACGGCUAACUACGUGCCAGCAGCCGCGGUAAUACGUAGGUGGCAAGCGUUAUCCGGAAUUAUUGGGCGUAAAGCGCGCGUAGGCGGUUUUUUAAGUCUGAUGUGAAAGCCCACGGCUCAACCGUGGAGGGUCAUUGGAAACUGGAAAACUUGAGUGCAGAAGAGGAAAGUGGAAUUCCAUGUGUAGCGGUGAAAUGCGCAGAGAUAUGGAGGAACACCAGUGGCGAAGGCGACUUUCUGGUCUGUAACUGACGCUGAUGUGCGAAAGCGUGGGGAUCAAACAGGAUUAGAUACCCUGGUAGUCCACGCCGUAAACGAUGAGUGCUAAGUGUUAGGGGGUUUCCGCCCCUUAGUGCUGCAGCUAACGCAUUAAGCACUCCGCCUGGGGAGUACGACCGCAAGGUUGAAACUCAAAGGAAUUGACGGGGACCCGCACAAGCGGUGGAGCAUGUGGUUUAAUUCGAAGCAACGCGAAGAACCUUACCAAAUCUUGACAUCCUUUGACAACUCUAGAGAUAGAGCCUUCCCCUUCGGGGGACAAAGUGACAGGUGGUGCAUGGUUGUCGUCAGCUCGUGUCGUGAGAUGUUGGGUUAAGUCCCGCAACGAGCGCAACCCUUAAGCUUAGUUGCCAUCAUUAAGUUGGGCACUCUAAGUUGACUGCCGGUGACAAACCGGAGGAAGGUGGGGAUGACGUCAAAUCAUCAUGCCCCUUAUGAUUUGGGCUACACACGUGCUACAAUGGACAAUACAAAGGGCAGCGAAACCGCGAGGUCAAGCAAAUCCCAUAAAGUUGUUCUCAGUUCGGAUUGUAGUCUGCAACUCGACUACAUGAAGCUGGAAUCGCUAGUAAUCGUAGAUCAGCAUGCUACGGUGAAUACGUUCCCGGGUCUUGUACACACCGCCCGUCACACCACGAGAGUUUGUAACACCCGAAGCCGGUGGAGUAACCUUUUAGGAGCUAGCCGUCGAAGGUGGGACAAAUGAUUGGGGUGAAGUCGUAACAAGGUAGCCGUAUCGGAAGGUGCGGCUGGAUCACCUCCUUU